rnacentral:snRNA from 1 species
GUACUUGCUUCGACAGUACAUAUACUAAAAUUGGAACGAUACAGAGAAGAUUAGCAUGGCUCUUGCGCAAGGAUAACACGCAAAAUCGUGAAACGUUUCACAUAAAA